GAGGUAGCUCAGUUGGGUAGGACAUGGUGCUAAUAACACCAAGGUUGCAGGUUUGAAUCCCGUAUGGAACA